ACGGCUCAGUAACACGUGGACAACCUAACCUAUGGUGGGGGAUAACCCCGGGAAACUGGGGAUAAUACCCCAUAGACUAUGGAAGCUGGAAUGCUCUGUAGCCGAAAGGUCAGCCGCCGUAGGAUGGGUCUGCGGCCGAUUAGGUAGUUGUUGGGGUAGCGGCCCAACAAGCCUGUAAUCGGUACGGGUUGUGGGAGCAAGAGCCCGGAGAUGGAUUCUGAGACACGUAUCCAGGCCCUACGGGGCGCAGCAGGCGCGAAAACUUUACAAUGCGGGAAAUCGUAAUAAGGGAACUCCGAGUGCCCGUUAAAUCGGGCUGUCCACCAGUUUAAAUAACUGGUGAAGAAAGGGCCGGGCAAGACCGGUGCCAGCCGCCGCGGUAAUACCGGCGGCUCGAGUGGUGGCCACUAUUACUGGGCUUAAAGCGUUCGUAGCUGGUUUGUUAAGUCUCUGGGGAAAUCUUCCGGCUUAACCGGAAGGCGUCUCAGGGAUACUGGCAGACUAGGGACCGGAAGAGGUGAGGGGUACUCCAGGGGUAGGAGUGAAAUCCUGUAAUCCUUGGGGGACCACCUGUGGCGAAGGCGCCUCACCAGGACGGCUCCGACAGUGAGGGACGAAAGCUGGGGGAGCAAACCGGAUUAGAUACCCGGGUAGUCCCAGCCGUAAACGACGUGCGUUAGGUGUAUCGGUGACCACGAGUCACCGAGGUGCCGAAGAGGAAUCGUGAAACGUACCGCCUGG
rnacentral:rRNA from 1 species